UAUUAAAAAUUUCACUUAUUCUUAUUGUUAAAAGCUGACAUAACUAACAGAAUAAUCAAACAGUUACAUGUUACGUGCCUCUUAUACGUCAUUCUGACGUACAUGAACCAAUUUUUAAUAGUAAAAAUAAAUAAAUUUUUUAACA
rnacentral:pre_miRNA from 1 species